UCCUUCCAUUUUCUCAUUUCUAGUGGUUGUGAUAUAACAGCCCUCUGUCUUCAUUAAUGCACAGGCCAUAAUUAAAGCACGUGGCUUUGAUUAAAGCCUCCCCACCUGGCAUGAAAUAGCCACUCGGUAGCAGGUGCAGAGGAUAUAUCCGCACUACCUUGACACCCCAAAAUGAUUUAAUUCCUUUUGGGAUUAGCAUGGGCGGAGGGUGGAAAAAGGGCAAGGUGGAAACGGGAAGAGAAAAUCAGGCUGGGAUUUGGGUUUGAGCUGGUCCUGCCUUGCCAGGAGCUCUGUGGCUCUCUCCUAGGCCACCGAGCGGGACCUCUGAGCCUCGGGGCUGCCAGCUCAGCGCCUUUCCUCGCCGUGAGGGCAGGGAAGAAGGUGGCAAGGGCGAGAAACCGAGAGCCAGGAGCCGAGAGCUGCUGCGGCCGGGGCGAUGCUGCGAGCGGCCAGCGGGCGCCACUGCCGCGCUGCGGCUGGGGGCUGAGCCUGGCUCCGUCCUUCCCUGCCCACCUCGGGGGUCCCCUGCUCACCUGUCCCCCUCCCCAGCUGCUUUUUCACGCCCUCCUGGCACAGAGCUGGGUAAAGAGAAGGAAUAAACGGGAGCGGGGAGGCUGGGAAGCGGUGGUCAGCAGGCAGGAAUUGGGGAAGCUGCUCUGUCGAAAGUAUCUGUACGUCCUAGGAGGGUGUUGUGGGGUUGUGUCAUGCUUUACAGAGCACGUCCUGGUGUGAUUUCUCACGUCCACGAACAGCAAAGGUCAUGGCCUCGCUGCAUGCUUGGCUGCCUUCAACCCUGGGUGAGAUCAAGAGGUGCCCAUGGCUUUCCUGAGCUCCUCCAAGCCUUUCUCUCCAUGCUGCACCCCAGGGAAACUCCCAGCAGCUGCUCCAGAAUCAGUGCAGAUGAGACCCUAUCAUCCAGUGGCAGAGAGGAUCCUGAAUGCUCAGAUAUAACCUGGUGACAUACAAAAUGCCUUCCAAUACUCCCGUCUCUCCCCAUCUCUCAGCAGCUGGAGGAAAUCCAUGCAUGCGGAGCAUGGGCCAGCACAGGCUGAAAUACCACCACCAUGUUUCACCUGCACUGCUUUUCCUUGAUGCUUUUCCAUUAUUUCUCUAGUGUUCAGCAGCCAUGGAAAUGACCCGUUGGUGCUGAGCAGAGCUGGGCUGCAAGGAGAAGAUGGGAGCUGGAGGAUGUGAAGAAGAGCUGGUGAGAGGAGGCCUCACCUGGUGCUGGAGUGCUUGGCAUGAAAACAACAAUACGCUGUUGUUAUUUAGUGCACCUGAUGUGAUAGUCCUUACAGCCGUUCUUCGCUUCAAUCGUUUACAAGCCCUGAUUUUAGUCCAAAACAAGCUUCCUUGAAAUAAAAUAAUCAUUUUCCAGUCUUCCUGUAGAAGCCAAAAGUAUUUUAAGUUGGCCUGGUCUGGCCUAAACACAAGGUGGGGAGGGGGUUGGUAUGUUGGGGACAUUUUAGUAAUGAGAGGAAGAAUGUGAAAGGAAGGAUU